AAUUUAUGGUGUGGAGGAAACCACUAACGUAUUAUCCUGCUUGAAUACACUCGAUCAAAAGAAAAAGGUUCUUGAAAAGUUUUCUGAAACUGAAAAAAACAAUCACCUGAAACGAAUGCAGCAUCUGCGUGUUGCUUUAACAAAUAACUUGGCAAAAGCAAUUGUGUCUUAACUGGUUGUCUAAUCAUUCCCUUAUACUGCCUUUUGUAUAAUCUUUCAAUAAAAUACUUUGCAUUUGA